CAACUCGACUGCACGAAGUCGGAAUUGCUAGUAAUCGCGGAUCAGCAUGCCGCGGUGAAUACGUUCCCGGGCCUUGUACACACCGCCCGUCACACCAUGAGAGUCGGGAACACCCGAAGUCGGUAGUCUAACCUCGUGAGGACGCCGCCGAAGGUGGGCUUGAUAAUUGGGGUGAAGUCGUAACAAGGUAUC
rnacentral:rRNA from 1 species